rnacentral:rRNA from 1 species
GAGUUUGAUCAUGGCUCAGAUUGAACGCUGGCGGCAUGCCUUACACAUGCAAGUCGAACGGCAGCACGGGAGCUUGCUCCUGGUGGCGAGUGGCGAACGGGUGAGUAAUGCAUCGGAACGUAUCCCGGAGUGGGGGAUAACGUAGCGAAAGUUACGCUAAUACCGCAUAUUCUGUGAGCAGGAAAGCGGGGGACCUUCGGGCCUCGCGCUCUUGGAGCGGCCGAUGUCGGAUUAGCUAGUUGGUGAGGUAAAGGCUCACCAAGGCGACGAUCCGUAGCAGGUCUGAGAGGAUGAUCUGCCACACUGGAACUGAGACACGGUCCAGACUCCUACGGGAGGCAGCAGUGGGAUUUGGACAAUGGGGGCAACCCUGAUCCAGCCAUGCCGCGUGAGUGAAGAAGGCCU